rnacentral:misc_RNA from 1 species
GAUGAAGAACGCAGCGAAAUGCGAUAAGUAAUGUGAAUUGCAGAAUUCAGUGAAUCAUCGAAUCUUUGAACGCACAUUGCGCCCGCUAGUAUUCUGGCGGGCAUGCCUGUCCGAGCGUCAUUUCAACCCUCAAGCCCCCGGGCUUGGUGUUGGGGAUCGGCGAGCCUCCGCGCCCGCCGUCCCCUAAAUCUAGUGGCGGUCUCGCUGUAGCUUCCUCUGCGUAGUAGCACACCUCGCACUGGGAAACAGCGCGGCCACGCCGUUAAACCCCCAACUUCUGAACGUUUGACCUCGGAUCAGGUAGGAAUACCCGCUGAACUUAAGCAUAUAAAAAGCGGAGGA